rnacentral:rRNA from 1 species
GACGAACGCUGGCGGCGUGCUUAACACAUGCAAGUCGAACGGAAAGGCCCUGCUUUUGUGGGGUGCUCGAGUGGCGAACGGGUGAGUAACACGUGAGUAACCUGCCCUUGACUUUGGGAUAACUUCAGGAAACUGGGGCUAAUACCGGAUAGGAGCUCCUGCUGCAUGGUGGGGGUUGGAAAGUUUCGGCGGUUGGGGAUGGACUCGCGGCUUAUCAGCUUGUUGGUGGGGUAGUGGCUUACCAAGGCUUUGACGGGUAGCCGGCCUGAGAGGGUGACCGGCCACAUUGGGACUGAGAGACGGACCAGACUCCUACGGGAGGCAGCAGUGGGGAAUAUUGCACAAUGGGCGGAAGCCUGAUGCAGAAACGCCGCGUGCGGGAUGACGGCCUUCGGGUUGUAAACCGCUUUAGCCUGUGACGAAGCGUGAGUGACGGUAAUGGGUAAAGAAGCACCGGCUAACUACGUG